CCUACGGGUGGCAGCAGUGGGGAAUAUUGCACAAUGGGGGAAACCCUGAUGCAGCGAUGCCGCGUGGAGGAAGAAGGUUUUCGGAUUGUAAACUCCUUUUAUCAGGGACGAUAAUGACGGUACCUGAAGAAAAAGCUCCGGCUAACUACGUGCCAGCAGCCGCGGUAAUACGUAGGGGGCAAGCGUUAUCCGGAUUUACUGGGUGUAAAGGGAGCGUAGACGGCAGCACAAGUCUGGAGUGAAAUCCCGGGGCUUAACCCCGGAACUGCUUUGGAAACUGUGCGGCUGGAGUGCAGGAGGGGUAAGCGGAAUUCCUAGUGUAGCGGUGAAAUGCGUAGAUAUUAGGAGGAACACCGGUGGCGAAGGCGACUUACUGGACUGUAACUGACGUUGAGGCUCGAAAGCGUGGGGAGCAAACAGGAUUAGAUACCCGUGUAGUC
rnacentral:rRNA from 1 species